rnacentral:lncRNA from 1 species
CCACGCCUGACUGGUUUUCAUGUUUUUUUUGGUGGAGACGGGGUUUUGCUGUGUUGGCCGGGCUGGUCUCCAGCUCCUAGCCGCGAGUGAUCCGCCAGCCUCGGCCUCCCGAGGUGCCGGGAUUGCAGACGGAGUCUCCUUCACUCAGUGCUCAAUGGUGCCCAGGCUGGAGUGCAGUGGCGUGAUCUUGGCUCGCUACAACCUCCACCUCCCAGCCGCCUGCCUUGGCCCCCCAAAGUGCCGAGAUUGCAGCCUCUGCCCAGCCGCCACCCCGUCUGGGAAGUGAGGAGCGUCUCUGCCUGGCCCCCCAUCGUCUGGGAUAUGAGGAGCCUCUCUGCCUGGCUGCCCAGUCUGGAAAGUGAGGAGCGUCUCUGCCCGGCCGCCCCGUCUGAGAAGUGAGGAAACCCUCUGCCUGGCAACCGCCCCAUCUGAGAAGUGAGGAGCCCCUCCGUCCGGCAGCCACCCCGUCUGGGAAGUGAGGAGCGUCUCCGCCCGGCAGCCACCCCGACCGGGAGGGAGGUGGGGGGGGGGUCAGCCCCCCGCCCGGCCAGCCGCCCCGUCCGGGAGGUGAGGGGCUCCUCUGCCCGGCCGCCCCUACUGGGAAGUGAGGAGCCCCUCUGCCCGGCCAGUCGCCCCGUCCAGGAGGGAGGUGGGGGGGUCAGCCCCCCGCCCGGCCAGCCGCCCAGUCCGGGAGGUGAG